GAUGGAGAAGCCGUUGGCGAAGUCAUAAGGCCCUCUACUUUUUAUUAUAAAUCUAGUAAUGGAAAAGAUGAAUUGUUUAGCGAAAGAAUAUUUUGACCCAUAGAAAGCGGGUUUUUCGCUUGUGGCAAUUCUCGAGCAAGUGAAGCUAAAAAAGAAGACAAAAUAUUUUGCCAAAAAUGCGGGGUAGAAUUUGUGGAUUCUCGUACACGAAGAUAUCAAAUGGGAUACAUCAAACUUGCAUAUCUCACGACUCAUGUAUGGUAUUUGAAAUGUCUUCCUAGUUGUAUUGUGAGUUGGUGA
rnacentral:rRNA from 1 species